GAAGGAGCAGGAGAUGCCGCGGGCGCCCGCCUGACACCCAGCCGGCCGGCCGUCGACAUUUCCCUAAAUCCUAAGCAGCAUUACAAAAUUCAGAAGACAACAAAUUUCCACAGAUACAACAGCUGCAGAGGGACUUCUGAAGUAUGGAUGCAGGAACUAAGGAACAGGGA